UACGUAGGGGGCUAGCGUUGUUCGGAUUUACUGGGCGUAAAGCGCACGUAGGCGGAUCGUUAAGUCGGGGGUGAAAUCCUGGAGCUCAACUCCAGAACUGCCUUCGAUACUGGCGAUCUUGAGUCCGGAAGAGGUGAGUGGAACUCCUAGUGUAGAGGUGAAAUUCGUAGAUAUUAGGAAGAACACCCGUGGCGAAGGCGGCUCUCUGGGACGGUACUGACGCUGAGACGCGAAAGCGUGGGGAGCGAUCCGG
rnacentral:rRNA from 1 species